AUUGAACGCUGGCGGCAUGCUUUACACAUGCAAGUCGAACGGUAACAGGGAGCUUGCUCCGCUGACGAGUGGCGAACGGGUGAGUAAUGCGUCGGAACGUGCCGAGUAGUGGGGGAUAACGCAUCGAAAGGUGUGCUAAUACCGCAUACGUACUGAGGUAGAAAGUGGGGGACCUUCGGGCCUCACGCUAUUCGAGCGGCCGACGUCUGAUUAGCUAGUUGGUGAGGUAAAGGCUCACCAAGGCGACGAUCAGUAGCGGGUCUGAGAGGAUGAGCCGCCACACUGGGACUGAGACACGGCCCAGACUCCUACGGGAGGCAGCAGUGGGGAAUUUUGGACAAUGGGCGCAAGCCUGAUCCAGCCAUGCCGCGUGUCUGAAGAAGGCCUUCGGGUUGUAAAGGACUUUUGUCCGGGAGCAAAUGCCUGGUGUUAAUAGCAUCGGGAGCCGAGAGUACCGGAAGAAUAAGCACCGGCUAACUACGUGCCAGCCGCCGCCGUAACAC
rnacentral:rRNA from 1 species